rnacentral:rRNA from 1 species
AACGAACGCUGGCGGCGUGGAUAAGACAUGCAAGUCGGACGAGAUUUUUCGUUGUAGCAAUACGAUGGAAAGUCUAGUGGCGAACGGGUGCUUAACACGUGGGCAACCUGCCGAGAAGUGGGGGAUAGCUCGCCGAAAGGCGAAUUAAUACCGCAUGUGAUCAGAGUGGACAUCCAUUCAAAAUUAAAGUCGGGGCAACCUGACGCUUCUUGUGGGGCCCGCGGCCUAUCAGCUGGUUGGUGAGGUAACGGCUCACCAAGGCUUUGACGGGUAGCUGGUCGGAGAGGACGACAAGCCACACUGGGACUGAGACACGGGCCAGACACCUACGGGUGGCAGCAGUCGAGAAUUGUUCUCAAUGGGGGAAACCCUGAAGGAGCGACGCCGCGUGGAGGAUGAAGGUCUUCGGAUUGUAAACUCCUGUCAUUGGGGAACAAGGUGCAUACGUUAACUGCGUGUGCAUUGAUAGUACCCGAAGAGGAAGAGACGGCUAACUCUGUGCCAGCAGCCGCGGUAACAC